AGAGAGAGACAUGCGCGCAUAUCAAUAAGCGGAGGAAAAGAAACUAACAAGGAUUCCCUUAGUAACGGCGAGUGAAGCGGGAAGAGCUCAAAUUUGAAAUCUUCAAGGUUUUACCUUGACGAAUUGUAGUUUAAAGAAGUGUUUUCUGCUGAAGUUUUGGUAAAAGUUCUUUGGAAUAGGACAUCAUAGAGGGUGAGAAUCCCGUAUUUGACCAUUAUUUUCAGCUUUGUGAUACACUUUCAAAGAGUCGGAUUGUUUGGGAAUGCAGUCCAAAAUGGGUGGUAAAUUUCAUCUAAAGCUAAAUAUUGGCGAGAGACCGAUAGCGAACAAGUACCGUGAGGGAAAGAUGAAAAGAACUUUGAAAAGAGAGUUAAACAGUACGUGAAAUUGUCAAAAGGGAAGCGUUUGACACCAGUGUUGUUUUCUCGAAAAUCAAUUAAAAAUGGCUCGAUUUUGUAUUGCUUGAGACCUUAAAAGCUCACUGUACAUUUUCUCGUGUCUUUUUCAAUGCACUUUUCGUUUAACAAGUCAACAUCAGUUUCUUUUGUUGUAAAAGGGUCAUUGGAAGGUGGCUUUCUUUUCGGAGAAAGUGUUUAUAGCCUUUGGCCUCUGCAAUCGGAGAGACUGAGGUCUGCGGCGUAGACUCUUCGGGGUUAGAUACAUUUGUGCUAAGUUAUAGCUUUUUAUAGACAACUUGUUGACUAUAAUUAGUCUUGUAGCUUACUCGCUUAUGCUAUUUUACCUACGCUUAGGAUGUUGAGUCGUAGAGCACGCAG
rnacentral:rRNA from 1 species